UGUUCGGGGGCAGGUAUUUGGAUCAUAACCUGCUUUUUGGCACAAUCCCGGAACAAAUAGGCUCAUUGAGGAGCCUGAGUGUUUUGGAUUUGAGCAUUAAUCGGCUCACUGGCCCUAUCCCUUCUGAGUUAGGUGGCUUGAGCAGGAAAUUUCCAUUCCAAUGGGUUGACAGGGAAUAUACGUCCAGAGCUGGGCAAACUGCAGAAUCUCGUUGAGCUGAGGUUGGAUAGGAAUAGACUGAAGGGAUCAAUUCCGGGAAGCACCUCUGCCGGGUUUUCUCCUAUUGCAAAUACUCACAAUGGACUGUGCCCUUCUCCUCGAUUAUAUGUUGGGGAUUUCUCUUACAAUUUUCUUGUCAGAAAAAUUCCUCCUUGCUUGAUGUAUCUUCCAAGGUACUGUUAUAUAAAGUACUUGCUGCUCUAUCUGUAUUUUAUUGAAGUUUGCUCAUUUACGAGGCCCGUUCGCAGGUCAAGUUUCCAAGAGGGUGAGUACUCUAUCCGACAACGAGCUUUUCAAAUUUGUAUAAGUACGUUUCUUGUCUUUAGCACCCAGCAAAAUCACUGCGAUACGCACUAUAAUGUAUAAACUGAUAUAUUUCUGCUA